UACGUAGGGGGCAAGCGUUGUCCGGAAUCAUUGGGCGUAAAGAGCGUGUAGGCGGCUCGGUAAGUCCGCUGUGAAAGUCCAGGGCUCAACCCUGGAAUGCCGGUGGAAACUGUCGAGCUCGAGUCCGGAAGAGGCGAGUGGAAUUCCUGGUGUAGCGGUGAAAUGCGCAGAUAUCAGGAGGAACACCAAUGGCGAAGGCAGCUCGCUGGGACGGUACUGACGCCGAGACGCGAAAGCGUGGGGAGCAAACAGG
rnacentral:rRNA from 1 species